rnacentral:rRNA from 1 species
GACAGAGGGUGCAAACGUUGUUCGGAAUUACUGGGCGUAAAGCGCGUGUAGGCGGCUAUGCAAGUCGGACGUGAAAUCCCACGGCUCAACCGUGGAAGUGCGCUCGAAACUGCGUAGCUAGAGUCCUGGAGAGGAAGGUGGAAUGCUUGGUGUAGAGGUGAAAUUCGUAGAUAUCAAGCGGAGCACCGGUGGCGAAGGCGGCCUUCUGGACAGUGACUGACGCUGAGACGCGAAAGCGUGGGGAGCAAACAGG